UCGAGGACAUUAAUUGCGUGAAACUUUGUUAUGUGUACAAUACUUGGUAUAUAUACUACUGGUUUUACAAUAAAACUGCGCUACAUAUGCAAUCAUGCAUGGUUUACAAACACCGAUGAAAACACCAAAGACUUCAGCAGAGCCAUCACAGGCACGGGCUAGUAUCAGUAUGUACAUGAUAGCCAAUUAACCCAUGAAGAUUACUCUAAAUUUCAUUUAAUAGGAUAGAGUCGAUGUAUAGAAAGCUUCAUUCACUGAUGGACCUCCUCAACUUCUGGACUGCCCACCCCUGGACUUGGACUGGACUUCUUGCUCCCUCCGAGAGCAUUGAGAUUUGGGGACCCAUGUCCCUCACCUCCCGAGCUCGGGCCCCCGUUCUUGACUGCUCCAAGCUGCAAUUCGUUCAUGAAAUUUCCAAGUUGAUCUCCUAUCAUCGGCCGAGCCUCCACCAAGAGAACAAUGCCGGACGACAGAAGAAAGAGGAAGAGAGAUCCCAAGAUUUGCAGCCUUGCAGCCAUUGGUUG
rnacentral:lncRNA from 1 species